GGGGGUAUAGCUCAGCUGGUAGAGCGUUGCCUUUGCACGGCAAAAGUCAGCGGUUCGAAUCCGCUUACCUCCA
rnacentral:tRNA from 1 species